UCUUCUUCUUCUUUUUAGAUGAGAUCUCUGAGUUAUUUCAAAAUCUCUCUGCAACUUUACUUUUUUAAAUUUUACUCUUCACUCUUCCAAAGAAUUAAGAGAAGCCCACAAACUCCAUCUGAUUCUCAUCCCUAUAGAGAAUACCGAGGAUUUUUUGUGGUAGUGUCCAACCUAAUUGGUUAUUAGAUGUGUUGUUUUUUUUGGGAGUUCCUGAUCUAAAGUUUCGAAGUGUUCGUGAUAACGGAGAAGGAUUCAAGAAGAAUUAUGACUUCAGGGGAUCCAAUUAUGCUUCUGUACGGUUUUCAUAAACUUUCAAUGAGAAUGGCCAUACUAAGAAUCGAUGCUUUGAGAUUGCGGGUUACCUAGAAUGGUGGGAUCAGAAUCGAAAGAAGGAGUACAAAAAGACCACGAUAGCAGCUAUUGUGGAAACAAAAAUUGAAGAUGAUGGUGCCACAAAGAUCACAACAUUGGUAGCACUACAGAUAAUGGAGCGAAAGGUAAUUGGUCCUCCUGAGGCUGGAUAUGGUCAAAAGAGAAUGAAUGAAAUCCCAGUUGACUUGCUUAAACAUGGCUUGCCUAACCCUUACUUCUCGAUCUUUAGACUUCAAAGUUCAAUGUAUAGAUAAAAUAAUGUACUUUGUUGAGAGGUUACUUAUU